AGUAAUGUCUGGGAAACUGCCUGAUGGAGGGGGAUAACUACUGGAAACGGUAGCUAAUACCGCAUAACGUCGCAAGACCAAAGUGGGGGACCGUUCGGGCCCUCAUGCCAUCAGAUGUGCCCAGAUGGGAUUAGCUAGUAGGUGGGGUAACGGCUCACCUAGGCGACGAUCCCUAGCUGGUCUGAGAGGAUGACCAGCCACACUGGAACUGAGACACGGUCCAG
rnacentral:rRNA from 1 species